CAGCCGCCGCGGGAAUACGAAGGGUGCAAGCGUUAAUCGGAAUUACUGGGCGUAAAGCGUGCGUAGGCGGUGAGUUAAGUCUGCUGUGAAAUCCCCGGGCUCAACCUGGGAAUGGCAGUGGAUACUGGCUCGCUAGAGUGUGUCAGAGGAUGGUGGAAUUCCCGGUGUAGCGGUGAAAUGCCUAGAGAUCGGGAGGAACAUCAGUGGCGAAGGCGGCCAUCUGGGACAACACUGACGCUGAGGCACGAAAGCGUGGGGAGCAAACAGGAUUAGAGACCCCUGUAGUCCCUGUCUCUUAUAC
rnacentral:rRNA from 1 species